AUUGAACGCUGGCGGAAUGCUUUACACAUGCAAGUCGAACGGUAGAGGGGGCAACCCCUCGAGAGUGGCGAACGGGUGAGUAAUAUAUCGGAACGUGCCCAGUCGUGGGGGAUAACGUAGCGAAAGUUACGCUAAUACCGCAUACGAUCUAAGGAUGAAAGCGGGGGACCGUAAGGCCUCGCGCGAUUGGAGCGGCCGAUGUCAGAUUAGGUAGUUGGUGGGGUAAAGGCUCACCAAGCCGACGAUCUGUAGCUGGUCUGAGAGGACGACCAGCCACACUGGGACUGAGACACGGCCCAGACUCCUACGGGAGGCAGCAGUGGGGAAUUUUGGACAAUGGGCGCAAGCCUGAUCCAGCAAUGCCGCGUGCAGGAAGAAGGCCUUCGGGUUGUAAACUGCUUUUGUACGGAACGAAACGGCUCUGGUUAAUACCUGGGGCUAAUGACGGUACCGUAAGAAUAAGCACCGGCUAACUACGUG
rnacentral:rRNA from 1 species